rnacentral:rRNA from 2 species
UACGAAGGGGGCUAGCGUUGUUCGGAUUUACUGGGCGUAAAGCGCGCGUAGGCGGGCAUUUAAGUCAGGGGUGAAAUCCCAGGGCUCAACCCUGGAACGGCCUUUGAUACUGGAUGCCUGGAGAUCGGGAGAGGUUGGUGGAAUUCCGAGUGUAGAGGUGAAAUUCGUAGAUAUUCGGAGGAACACCAGAAGCGAAGGCGGCCAACUGGCCCGAUACUGACGCUGAGGCGCGAAAGCGUGGGGAGCAAACAGG